AUGGCUGGAUUCGCUGAUGCACUGAGGCCGGAUAAGUUUACCGGUGUGCACUUUAAGAGGUGGCAGGUGAAGACCACGCUCUGGCUUACUGCUCUGAAAGUUUUCCACGCUAGUGUUGGUGCUCCAGAGGGAAUGACCGACGAAGAUCGGAGAAAAUUCCAGGAAGCCAAUACUAUGUUUGUGGGAUGCAUUCUGAGUGUUCUUGCUGACCGUCUGUGUGAUGUGUACAUGCACAUAAACGACAGAAAAAUUCUAUGGGAUGCACUGAAUGCAAAAUUCGGUGCAACAGAUGCAUGCAGUGAACUGUACAUCAUGGAGAGUUUUCAUGACUACAAGAUGGUGAAUAACCGUUCUGUGGUUGAACAAGCUCAUGGCUGGGUGCAUGAUUGCAAAGUUGCCUCCUUCAUGAAGGAAUUUCGCCACAACUCUGAAGCAUAA
rnacentral:rRNA from 1 species